CCUACGGGGGGCUGCAGUGGGGAAUAUUGGACAAUGGGGGGAACCCUGAUACAGCCAUGCCGCGUGUGUGAAGAAGGCCCUCGGGUUGUAAAGCACUUUCAGUGAGGAAGAACGCCUGGUGGUUAAUACCCAUCAGGAAAGACAUCACUCACAGAAGAAGCACCGGCUAACUCCGUGCCAGCAGCCGCGGUAAUACGGAGGGUGCGAGCGUUAAUCGGAAUUACUGGGCGUAAAGCGCGCGUAGGUGGCUUGAUAAGCCGGUUGUGAAAGCCCCGGGCUCAACCUGGGAACGGCAUCCGGAACUGUCAAGCUAGAGUGCAGGAGAGGAAGGUAGAAUUCCCGGUGUAGCGGUGAAAUGCGUAGAGAUCGGGAGGAAUACCAGUGGCGAAGGCGGCCUUCUGGACUGACACUGACACUGAGGUGCGAAAGCGUGGGUAGCAAACAGGAUUAGAUACCCGUGUAGUC
rnacentral:rRNA from 1 species